rnacentral:rRNA from 1 species
UACGUAGGGUGCGAGCGUUAAUCGGAAUUACUGGGCGUAAAGCGUGCGCAGGCGGUGAUGUAAGACAGUUGUGAAAUCCCCGGGCUCAACCUGGGAACUGCAUCUGUGACUGCAUCGCUGGAGUGCGGCAGAGGGGGAUGGAAUUCCGCGUGUAGCAGUGAAAUGCGUAGAUAUGCGGAGGAACACCGAUGGCGAAGGCAAUCCCCUGGGCCUGCACUGACGCUCAUGCACGAAAGCG